UACAGAGGGUGCGAGCGUUAAUCGGAAUUACUGGGCGUAAAGCGUGCGUAGACGGUAGCGUAAGUCAGAUGUGAAAGCCCCGGGCUCAACCCGGGAGGGUCGUGGCAAACCGGCGGGCUUGAGGCCGGUAGAGGUGGGUGGAACUCCUGGUGUAGCGGUGAAAUGCGCAGAUAUCAGGAGGAACACCGAUGGCGAAGGCAGCUCGCUGGGACGUGACUGACGCUGAGACGCGAAAGCGUGGGGAGCAAACAGG
rnacentral:rRNA from 1 species